CAAAACGUGCACUAUGUCCUGUUUGUUUUUCCUCUUCGCCCCUAAAUUUCUCCAUGUCAUCAGCAAAUCCUCCCCAUGUCAACAGAACAAUUUGAAACUUGAACUAAUUCUCAAAACUGAAACACAGAGAAACCUGACCCGAGAACCAAAAAUAGGGAAUCUCUCUCACUUCUGAUCAUUUUGCCCUAACCCCAUCUCAGGAAAUUCCCAAUUUCGAACCUAGUUUCAAAAAACACAACUUUCCCUGAUAAUAAUCUCCUCCCUCCUCCAUCAUCACCUAUCAGUCUCUUUCCCCGCAUUUGGUUCCCAAGAAAGCCCAGGAAAAUAAAUCCAAAUGAGCUCCCAUUUCCUCCCCUCCACUUUCCCACGGUUUCUUCCCAACCAAACACACUAUUUAUGAGCUUCAACAUUUCUUUUUUCUCAACGCUUCAAUCGGGUUUCGAUAUGAAAAGAGCGAAAGUUGGCGCUUAUUGUCCUUCCCCUGCUCCCACAUUGGUGGUUCUCGUUGUACUAUUGGUGGGUUCAGUGCAGUUCAUACAGUGCCAUAACGUGGAUGACUACAACGAGUUUGAUAAUCCCGAGCUUCUUCUGUUGUUCACACAGCUUGGUUAUGGGACGCUGAUUGGAACCAGGCUUUUAUCUUUCAUUUAAUUUGGAUUUCUUGGCUUCUUGCAUCCAGAAAACUAAAUGUAUGAGUAGUUUUUACAAGUUACAUUUAGUUUGUUUGGAUACCUAGAAAAUCCGAGUAAAAUAGGAAAAAAUGGCUUUCAUGGGGGAAAAAAAAACAUCUGGAAUCAAUCAAUUCUAAUUAAACUAGUUGGUUACCUGAGUUGAGUUUCUCAUUCUUUUUUAAUUCUUUGGAAGGAAUACAAAAUGGAAUUUGAAACUCAAAUCUUAAUGGCUUUUCUUCACCAACUAAAAUGGAGGGUCACUAGAAAUACCUGUUGUGUUUCUUGGUCAGAAACUUCAUAUUUGAGUGCACUGUUAUAAUAUCGGGAAGAAUUAUAGGAGCAUUAUUAAUGUGAUUCGGCUAUUGAGACUUCAUAGGAAGGUGGUUUGGACUGGGUAGGUGUGUAUUCCAAUUUUUUUUUUUCUCACUUGUCCUGGUGAAUUCUUAGCAAUGAGACUAGGAUUUAAGCUCAAAAGGUUAUACUUAUCCAUUGUUUCUAACUCUUUUAACUUGUUAUGAUUGACGAGGAAGAUGAUAGUUUCUUUCCGACCCAUUAUUGGAAAGUUUCUCUUUGAGGCACCAUCAUGCUCUUUCCUUGGCAUCUCUUUCUAUUAGGAUCUGUUUAGGCCCAAAGGGCUGUAAGCAAUAAAGAAGGAUCUUGUAAAAUAUCAGACAGAGAAAACCAAAUGCUAGCAUUUUCUGUUGUUUUUCUUUCAGUAGUAUUUUCUGCAACUAGUGGGUCAUUUUGAAUCAUAAGUUGCAUUCUCAUGUAGUACAAUGGUUUGAAUUUCCACAACAAGAGAUAUUACCCAAUAA